GGGUUACUCCUGCUCUUUCACGCUGUCUUGAUGAAGAUUCGCACCUCUAUCAAAACGGGUAACCCCGCCUCUCUGCAAGGCCUGACUGUCAGAUCAAAUCGGAACUUCUACACUUCAGAACUCGGCACUUUACCUUCCAAUAGGAGCCACUCCAUGCUUUUUCCAACAUUCAAAUCUUGCGUUUGUUGCUACGCUCAUCGCAACGAUAACCGCCU
rnacentral:sRNA from 1 species